rnacentral:misc_RNA from 1 species
UGGUUCUGGCAUCGAUGAAGAACGCAGCGAAAUGCGAAAAGUAAUGCGAAUUGCAGAAUUCCGUGAGUCAUCGAAUCUUUGAACGCACAUUGCGCCCCCUGGUAUUCCGGAGGGCAUGCCUGUCCGAGCGUCAUUAUCUGUGUCAAGCCUGGCUUGUCGUUGGGUCGACCGCCUGGUCCUCCCGAAAAACAGCGGCGGCACCGCUUUGGUCGCAAUGCAACGAGCUUCGGCACGCGUUCCGGCUGUGGUGGUCCGCCUACCUCCUCUCAGUUGACCUCGGAUCAGACAGGAUUACCCGCUGA